AGAGAAAAGACAAACCUCCAUUCACAUCAGUGUAAUUGGCACAUUGUUGAAACCAGUAGCCCUAUCUAAGAGAGAUCAGUAGAGCAACCUGAAUGUUCAGGAACCAAACUCCAGGUUUGGUAGAAUAAUCAAAAUGAGAACCAGACUCCAGGUUUGGUAGAAUAAUCUAAAUGAGAACCAGACUCCAGGUUUGGUACAAUAAUCAAAAUGAGAACCAGACUCCAGGUUUGGUAGAAUAAUCUAAAUGAGAACCAGACUCCAGGUUUGGUAGAAUAAUCAAAAUGAGAAUCAGACUCCAGGUUUGGUAGAAUAAUCAAAAUGAGAACCAGACUCCAGGUUUGGUAGAAUAAUCUAAAUGAGAACCAGACUCCAGGUUUGGUAGAAUAAUCUAAAUGAGAACCAGACUCCAGGUUUGGUAGAAUAAUCAAAAUGAGAACCAGACUCCAGGUUUGGUAGAAUAAUCUAAAUGAGAACCAGACUCCAGGUUUGGUAGAAUAAUCUAAAUGAGAACCAGACUCCAGGUUUGGUAGAAUAAUCUAAAUGAGAACCAGACUCCAGGUUUGGUAGAAUAAUCAAAAUGAGAACCAGACUCCAGGUUUGGUAGAAUAAUCAAAAUGAGAACCAGACUCCAGGUUUGGUAGAAUAAUCUAAAUGAGAACCAGACUCCAGGUUUGGUAGAAUAAUCUAAAUGAGAACCAGACUCCAGGUUUGGUAGAAUAAUCAAAAUGAGAAUCAGACUCCAGGUUUGGUAGAAUAAUCUAAAUGAGAACCAGACUCCAGGUUUGGUAGAAUAAUCUAAAUGAGAACCAGACUCCAGGUUUGGUAGAAUAAUCUAAAUGAGAAUCAGACUCCAGGUUUGGUAGAAUAAUCCAAAUGAGAACCAGACUCCAGGUUUGGUAGAAUAAUCUAAAUGAGAAUCAGACUCCAGGUUUGGUAGAAUAAUCAAAAUGAGAACCAGACUCCAGGUUUGGUAGAAUAAUCAAAAUGAGAAUCAGACUCCAGGUUUGGUAGAAUAAUCAAAAUGAGAACCAGACUCAGGCAGAACAAAAAGUAGUCCUCAGCCCCUCCCAUCCAACUCCACAAAGAACUGUCAAUCAUCUACACUCAUCUAGCAAUCAACACAUCUUUAAGUCUGUAUGUUCUUGUACUUAUUGUUCUGUCAUUCCUACUCGUAGUCGCUGUUAUGAAAGUCAGCUAAUUAUUCGUACACACCCUCACAUUGAUGGAUUAUUGAGGAGUGUCCUCAGGAAUGUACAGUGAAUGGGUGACAUAGCACAUGGAAUU